GCAGUCGUGGCCGAGUGGUUAAGGCGAUGAACUAGAAAUCCAUUGGGGUCUCCCGGCACACGUUCGAACCCUGUCGACUGCG
rnacentral:tRNA from 1 species